UACGAAGGGAGCUAGCGUUGUUCGGAAUCACUGGGCGUAAAGCGCACGUAGGUGGAUCGUUAAGUCAGGGGUGAAAGCCCGAGGCUCAACCUCGGAAUUGCCUCUGAUACUGGCGAUCUAGAGUUCGAGAGAGGUGAGUGGAAUUCCUAGUGUAGAGGUGAAAUUCGUAGAUAUUAGGAAGAACACCGGUGGCGAAGGCGGCUCACUGGCUCGAUACUGACACUGAGGUGCGAAAGCGUGGGGAGCAAACGGG
rnacentral:rRNA from 1 species